GUGGGUUCUAUUUAGAUGAUCAGUCAACACAAGGGAAGGACUUGAGUUACUUCCAACAGGGGUCUAUUCUUCAGUCAAAACGUUAAUCUUGAAGGAGCAAAAGUUUGUUCAUGAGCUGUCAUGCUCGUUAGGCGAGCAGAAUGGGUCACCUAGCGAGUCCCAAGAAAAGCCACCAGAAUCACCUACGCUCAAAGGAAUUUCUUUAACUGUC
rnacentral:lncRNA from 1 species